GUAUUUGUUAUUGUGGUUUGCAUCUGACUGAUAUAUAUCUAGCCUGCAACAUUGUAAUAUGAGAUGUUGCCUGCAACAUUGUAAUAUGAGAUGUUGCCUGCAACAUUCUUGAUGAAAUUUGAUGCGAGGGAUAUUAUGUUGGAGAGAGAAAUAGGUCUAUUGGGACUUCGGAUAAUCGUGAUACUAAAUUCUUUGUAAUAUGAGUUGUUGUCGAUCACAUUCUUGAUUGGAUUCUCUCUCUCUCUCUCUCUCUCUACUCACAUUUUUUACUGCAUCUUGUUUUCCAAAUUGAAUAUUCUUUAAGCUUAAAGGUUGAGUGGACCUCUUUUCAUAUCCUUAUGCUUUUGCUUUUAUUUAACAUCACAUGCAUUCCCGAUUUGUUGUCUUUCAUGUACUUGAGAUUUUACAUCUUUAUUUUGUUUGUUUUAUCUAUGCAAAUUUAUGUGUUGUUGAACUUACUAUUCUUGACCCUUGGCAGGAGAAAAGAGUUUAAAGUUGCAGUUCUCCUUAUUUUUGACAAUAAGCAGGAAGUAAAAAAUGUAUGAUAGGAGAUUUGGAGUUCGCUAGAAAAGCUCUGCCUGUAUGAUCAAAGAACACGAAUUCUGGAAUUCAGGUACUCAUAUGGUAGUUAUUCAGGAUUUGUAAUCACACUUUAAGUAGAUAUUAUGCAAUGUGAAACCAACCCAGGCCUGAUUCUUCAACCACUGACAAGGAACUUGCUUCUAUGAUCGAGAGUGUUUCCGAGAAACAACAUUUUACCGCAAAAUGGCUUCAACUGCCGAGAUUGGAUGGGAUUUUAGUACAAGAUGGAUGAGGUAGAUUUUUGAAACAGGGAGAAGUAAUUGAUUUAGCAUUUAUACUCCUACAUUAACAUUUUAUUGAAAGCACAAUAGAGUAUGUUUUGAGUUUGUCUUUCAUGUCACUGCACAAGAUUAUGAGAAGUAAACGAGGCAGGUCACUUAAUUGAAGAGCUUGCUCUUGUUUCCGUGCAUGAGCCAUAUAUGUAGGAGUGGACUGAGCAAUUGGAAAGCAGUGACCGAUUUAUGUAGGAGCCAUAUAUGUAGCAGCUGCAUAUGUGCAUAUUUUUGGAACAAGUAUAUAUUGUAUCUACUUUUGUUGUUUAUCAUUGUUAGUUAAAAUGCAGCAGUCAUCAAGCUGCUUUCUUC